rnacentral:rRNA from 1 species
UUCUAAUAUAAUGUGAAAACCCCGGUUACCGGGGGAGGGUCAUUGGAAAUUGGGGGAACUUGAGUCGGAGAGGAGGAGUGAAAUUCCACGUGUACCGUUGAAAUGGGUAGAGAUGGGGAGGAACACCAGUGGCGAAAGGGGAUUCUAUCUUUUUAAAUGACGCUGAGGAGCGAAAACGUGGGGAGCGGAACAGAAUUAGAUUCCCCGGUAGUUCCACGCCCUAAACCGAAGAGGGUUUAAUUUAGGGGUGUUUCCCCCCCUUUAGUGGGGCAGGUAACGCAUUAACAAUCCGCCUGGGGAGUACGGUCGCAAGCAUGAAAUCAUACGAAGUAACGGGGGCGGGCACCAGCGGUGGAUCAAGUGGGUGAAUUAGUUGGAACCAGAAGGACCAUCCCAGGUCAUCCCUUCCUUUGACAGUCCUAGAGAUUGGUUGUCCCCUUCGGGGGCAGAGACCCAAAUGCUGCAUGGUCGUUGUCAGCCUCAGUUCGGAGAUGGUGAGUUAAGUCUCGGUACGGGCGCGAGCCCUGAUCUUGGCUGCCAGCCUUCAGAUGGGCAAUUUAAAGUGGACUCCGGUGGCAAAACCGGGGGAGGUGGGGAUGAACGCAAAUCCUCCUUCCCCUUAUGGCCUGGGGUACACACGGUCUACAAAGGGCAGAACAAAGGGCAGGGAAACCCGGGGGGUGGACCCAUCCCCAGAAUCCCGUUUCAAUUCGGGUUGCCAUUUUCAAAUUGGCUGGCUGAAAGUGGAAAUCGUUGUAAUUCCCGAUUCACCAUGCGCCGGGAAAUAGUUUCCCGGCUCUUGUCCCCACCGCCCUCCCCCCCCGAGAGUUGGGAACCCCCGAAGUUAGGGCGGUAACCUUCAAGGAGCCAGCCGCCGAAGGUGGGACAGAUGAUGGGGUGAAGUCGUAUCAAAGGACGCCGUAUGCCC